ensembl:rRNA 5S_rRNA 5S ribosomal RNA
GUCCAUGGCCAUGCCACCCUGAACGCGCCCGAUCGCGUCUGAUCUCGGAAGCUAAGCAGGGUCGAGCCUGGUUUGGACUCGGAUGGCAGACCACCGAGGAAGACCAGGUGCUGUAGGCG